rnacentral:tRNA from 1 species
UCCUUGGUAACUCAGACAGUAAAGAAUCUGCCUGCAAUGCAGGAGACCUGGGUUUAAUCCCUGGUUUAGGAA